rnacentral:rRNA from 1 species
GACGAACGCUGGCGGCGUGCUUAACACAUGCAAGUCGAACGGAAAGGCCCUGCUUUUGCGGGGUGCUCGAGUGGCGAACGGGUGAGUAACACGUGAGUAACCUGCCCUUGACUUUGGGAUAACUUCAGGAAACUGGGGCUAAUACCGGAUAGGAGCUCCUGCUGCAUGGUGGGGGUUGGAAAGUUUCGGCGGUUGGGGAUGGACUCGCGGCUUAUCAGCUUGUUGGUGGGGUAGUGGCUUACCAAGGCUUUGACGGGUAGCCGGCCUGAGAGGGUGACCGGCCACAUUGGGACUGAGAUACGGCCCAGACUCCUACGGGAGGCAGCAGUGGGGAAUAUUGCACAAUGGGCGGAAGCCUGAUGCAGCAACGCCGCGUGCGGGAUGACGGCCUUCGGGUUGUAAACCGCUUUCGCCUGUGACGAAGCGUGAGCGACGGUAAUGGGUAAAGAAGCACCGGCUAACUACGUG